CCUACGGGCGGCAGCAGUGAGGAAUAGUGGUCAAUGGGCGUAAGCCUGAACCAGCCAAGUCGCGUGAGGGAUGAAGGUUCGAUGGAUCGUAAACCUCGUUUAUAAGGGAAUAAAGUGCGGGACGUGUCCCGUUUUGUAUGUACCUUAUGAAUAAGGAUCGGCUAACUCCGUGACAGCAGCCGCGGUAAUACGGAGGAUCCGAGCGUUAUCCGGAUUUAUUGGGUUUAAAGGGAGCGUAGGCGGCCUUUUAAGGCCGCGGUGAAAGGCUGUGGCUCAACCAUAGAAUUGCCGUUGAAACUGGCAGGCUUGCGUAUGUUUGAGGCAGGCGGAAUGCGUGGUGUAGCGGU
rnacentral:rRNA from 1 species